rfam:Dipodomys ordii contig_8430, whole genome shotgun sequence.
GGGAAGGUAGCUCAGUGGUAGAGUGCUUGCCUCAUAUGCAUGAGGCCCUGGGUUAGAUUCCUCAGUGCCA